CAAUGCGAAGCGUUUGACUGAAGCCCCAGUAAACGGCGGCCGUAACUAUAACGGUCCUAAGGUAGCGAAAUUCCUUGUCGGGUAAGUUCCGACCUGCACGAAUGGCAUAAUGAUGGCGGCGCUGUCUCCAGCAGAGGCUCAGUGAAAUGAUGCAGUGUAUCCGCGGCUAGACGGAAAGACCCCGUGAACCUUUACUGUAGCUUUGCACUGGACUUUGAACUUGCUUGUGUAGGAUAGGUGGGAGGCUAUGAAAAUGGGACGCCAGUUCCAUUGGAGCCAUCCUUGAAAUACCACCCUGGUAAUGUUGAGGUUCUAACUCUGCCCCGUGAUCCGGGGCGAGGACCAUGUCUGGUGGGUAGUUUGACUGGGGCGGUUUCCUCCUAAAGAGUAACGGAGGCGCCCAAAGGUGCGCUCAGCGUGGUCGGAAUCACGCGUAGAGUAUAAAGGCAAAAGCGCGCUUAACUGCGAGACCCACAAGUCGAGCAGGUACGAAAGUAGGUCUUAGUGAUCCGGUGGUUCUGUAUGGAAGGGCCAUCGCUCAACGGAUAAAAGGUACUCUGGGGAUAACAGGCUGAUACCGCCCAAGAGUUCAUAUCGACGGCGGUGUUUGGCACCUCGAUGUCGGCUCAUCUCAUCCUGGGGCUGAAGCAGGUCCCAAGGGUAUGGCUGUUCGCCAUUUAAAGAGGUACGCGAGCUGGGUUUAGAACGUCGUGAGACAGUUCGGUCCCUAUCUACCGUGGGCGCUGGAAAUUUGAGAGGAUCUGCUCCUAGUACGAGAGGACCAGAGUGGACGAACCUCUGGUGUACCGGUUGUGACGCCAGUCGCAUCGCCGGGUAGCUAUGUUCGGAAGGGAUAACCGCUGAAAGCAUCUAAGCGGGAAGCCUACCUCAAGAUAAGAUUUCCCCGUGACUUUAUGUCACCUAAAGAGCCGUUGAAGACUACGACGUUGAUAGGUUGGAUGUGGAAGCAUAGUGAUAUGUGAAGCUGACCAAUACUAAUUGCUCGUGAGGCUUGACUAU
rnacentral:rRNA from 1 species